rnacentral:rRNA from 1 species
GACGAACGCUGGCGGCGUGCUUAACACAUGCAAGUCGAACGGUGAUGCUCCAGCUUGCUGGCGUGGAUCAGUGGCGAACGGGUGAGUAACACGUGAGCAACCUGCCCCAGACUCUGGAAUAAGCGCUGGAAACGGCGUCUCAUACUGGAUACGAAACUGGCCCGCAUGGGCAUGGUUUGGAAAGUUUUUCGGUUUGGGAUGGGCUCGCGGCCUAUCAGCUUGUUGGUGAGGUAAUGGCUCACCAAGGCGACGACGGGUAGCCGGCCUGAGAGGGCGACCGGCCACACUGGGACUGAGACACGGCCCAGACUCCUACGGGAGGCAGCAGUGGGGAAUAUUGCACAAUGGGCGAAAGCCUGAUGCAGCGACGCCGCGUGAGGGAUGACGGCCUUCGGGUUGUAAACCUCUUUCAGCAGGGAAGAAGCGAAAGUGACGGUACCUGCAGAAGAAGCACCGGCUAACUACGUG